rnacentral:rRNA from 1 species
GGGCACGACACCGGAGAGGGAGCCUGAGAAACGGCUACCACAUNNNNNNNUGGCAGCAGGCGCGCAAAUUACCCAAUCCUGACACGGGGAGGUAGUGACAAUAAAUAACAAUACGGGGUUCUUUAGGAUCUCGUAAUUGGAAUGAGUACAAUUUAAAUCUCUUAACGAGGAACAAUUGGAGGGCAAGUCUGGUGCCAGCAGCCGCGGUAAUUCCAGCUCCAAUAGCGUAUAUUAAAGUUGUUGCAGUUAAAAAGCUCGUAGUUGAAUUUCGGGGUUAGUAGGUUGGUCAUGCCUCUGGUAUGUACUGGUCUCACUGAUUCCUCCUUCCUGAUGAACCGUAAUGCCAUUAAUUUGGUGUUGCGGGGAAUUUGGACUGUUACUUUGAAAAAAUUAGAGUGUUUAAAGCAAGCUAACGCUUGAAUACAUUAGCAUGGAAUAAUGAAAUAGGACGUUCGAUCCUAUUUUGUUGGUUUCUAGGAUUGACGUAAUGAUUAAUAGGGAUAGUUGGGGGCAUUAGUAUUCAAUUGUCAGAGGUGAAAUUCUUGGAUUUAUUGAAGACUAACUACUGCGAAAGCAUUUGCCAAGGAUGUUUUCAUUAAUCAAGAACGAAAGUUAGGGGAUCGAAGACGAUCAGAUACCGUCGUAGUCUUAACCAUAAACUAUGCCGACUAGGGAUCGGAUGAUGUUAAUUUUUUAAUGACUCAUUCGGCGCCUUACGGGAAACCAAAGU